rnacentral:ncRNA from 1 species
UCUUAUCAAGAGAAGUCGAGGGACAAGGCCCGAUGACACUUCAGCAACCUCUGCCAAGCAGAAAGGUGCUAAUUCCUACAAACUUACGAGUUUGGAAGAUAAGA